CCCGGAGCCCCGCGGCUGCGGCGCGGGCCGAGUCUCCAAGUUACCAAGUUACCGCAGGAUUCGGGAGCUUCUCACUGGCGCGGCCGCGGCCAAUCAGAGAGCAGCGCCGCUGUUCUCGGGCAGGAGGCCUGGAGACACGCGCACCUUCCCCCGACACCCAGCGAAGCGCGCUGACAUACAAUCACAGCGGCGCGCACACACACACACACACCGUCCCAGAGACAAGCAGCGUCGCCCACCGCACAUACACAAUCACAAUGACACACACAGCGACAGACACACAGGUCCCAGGAACACGCAGACACACAGCAUCACAGAGACACACAAAAUAUCAGUGACAGCCGGGCACGGUGGCUCAGGCCUGGCACGGUGGCUCAGGCCUGUAAUCCCAGCAUUUUGGGAGGUCGAGGCGGGUAGAUCACUUGAGGUCGGGAGUUUGGGACCAGCCUAACCAAUGUGGUGAAGCUCCGUCUCUAGUGUGGUGGCAUGCACCUGUAGUCCCAGCUACUUGGGAGGCUGAGGCAGGAGAAUCGCUUGAGCCCAGGAGGUGGAGGUUGCAAUGAGCCAAGGUCGCUGCCACUGCACUCCAGCCUGGACAACAAGAGCAAAACUCCGUCUCAAAAAACAAAACAAAACAAAACAAAAAAACAACUUAGUGACACAGACAGUCCCAGGACACAUAGCACUCCCCAGACCCACAACCACAGGCACACACAGUGCUGCCCAGGCACAUGCAAUCUCCAUGAGGUAUGCACAGUCCCUUGAACACACAACAUCACCCUGACACACACAGUAUCAGUGACAUACAAUCAAUACAGUGACACUCAUCCCACAACCAAUUGGUCCCAACACACUCACUAGAUCACAGUGAUACAAUCGCAACAGUGACACAUUCAAGCACAGUGAGAGACAAUAUUGCAUACACGCAAUCUAUUAGACACACAGUUCCAUGGACACACAACAUCACCCUGACAAACACAACCACAAUGACACACAACCACAGUAACACACAGCAUUGCACAUGCACAUACUGUCGGUGAUACACAGUCCCACAGAUAUGCAUUUCAGACACAGUCAUAAUGUCACACACACACACACAAUCCCACCGUGCACCGCAUUGUCCAGGCACACACAAUAACAGUAGUAUGUAUGCACAUCUUCCCCCGACACCCAGCACAGCACAUGGGCAUACACUAUCACAGUGAUACAUACACAGUCCCAACACCCACAACACAAGUACCACUGACACACUCAGUGACACACACAAUCCCAUAUACACACAGCAUUGUAUACACGUACACACCAUCACCAUGACAUACACACACAACCCCAGUGACACCCAGCAUUACACAAACACAUCCAACCAUGACAACAGAACAGUACAGUGACAUAGCACCUUCACAGAUCUUCCCCCAACACAACAUCACUCUGACACAUAUACGAUCCCAGCGUCAGGACACAAUCACAUGGGCACACACAUCUCACUGCCAGACCAGCAUGCUGCACAGAACCACACACAUCACACCAUCAUGAUCACACACAGCACACCAGAACAUCACACAAUUGUACACUGACACACAAUCACAUUGUCACAGCAGCCCAUGACAUGUAGCAUUGUGACAAAUGUAGCAUGCUGACACACACCAUCACACUGACACACAAUCCAUCAAGUGACACACAGUAGCACACACUGACACAACCCCACCGUAAUGUGUGAACCCCCUGACACAACAGCACACUGACACAAAUCCACAGAGGACUCCAGCACACACACACAUAGUCACACAAACACCCAACCCCCGCACCCCUG
rnacentral:lncRNA from 10 species